AGGCUGAGGCUCUCCGGGUCCCUGGCCUUGGGAAGGAGCUUGUAGGGUGGGUUUGUCCACCAUUCCUUUGCUGAUUUGGCCCUUCCAUGUGUGCUUAUUGAUUGGGUCUGGAUUCAAAGCAAGGACUGUGUCGCUGGAGCCCAUGCCCUUCCCUGUGCCCAAGGCAGUGAGUAAUCACCCCCGGAUGGGACCGCUGCAUCACAGGGUCAGAAAUGGCCAGGCUGUUUUCCCGAGGGGCCCGUGAAGGAGGCGGCUCUGCCCACGUCCUCGCCAACAUUUGGGACAGGGACAUGAGGUUCGGGAAGUCGAGGAGCCGAGUCGGUGCCUGGGGCCUGGCCAACAUCAGACCUGGGAGGACUUCCUGGAGGAGGCCAUGCUCCAGCAGGGCCUGGGGCGGCAAGAGGAGUUGAGUACGUGUGUGGGACAGUGAGAGGAGGGCGGCGAGCAGGAGGGAAAGCACCUCCUGUGACGGGAGCACGCUGCGAGGAGACAGCCCGGGGGCUGGUUUGGAGUGACAGUGCUGUCUGCGAGAUCCUGGGCCCAGGACGUAACUCUCUUGGCCACAGCCUCCCCACCUGUACAAUGUGAUAGCGAAAGAGCCCACCUUUCACAUGUGUUAGUUUUGUAAAGUGGUUGGGAAGGGCUCACGGUCGCCUUCACAGUUCACCCUCCGCAUCUCCUCUGCUCACACACCCUCCAUGGCUCCCCAGGGCCCCCAGAGUGCAGCCCACACCCCUCUGUGACCCGGGAGGCCUCGGACAGCCCAACGCCCACCUGCCCACACCUAGCAGCACCCCAGCCUCUGCAGUGUGGCGCCACCUGACUAAUUCCAUCCCAAUUUCCAAAUCAGGCCCCGUUCACAGGCACCAGGGAUUAGGACGCGGGCUUCUGCUUUGGGGACGCCACUGAACUCACGAGGGCCUUCCCGGCAGUGGAGGACGAAGGUAGAGCCCUGGGGCAGGGUGGAGAGUGCCAGCAUUCAGUCCAGGUCCAGAGGGAUCAAGAAGGGCGGCCAGAGGGGCCAGUCAGGGUGGCUGCAGGGUCAGGGCCAGCCCCACGCCCCCAUCCCACUAACACUCCUGGUGCCUGGAUCAAAUUCCUGCCCUGUCCCUCCCCGGAUGUGGGAACCUCCCUGGGCCUCAGUCUCCCCACCUUUUAAACAGAUAUGAUGACAACAGUCCCCAUCUUUCCAGGUCAUUGUGCGUUUAAACUAAUUAAACCAUGCUGAGCCUGCAGCCUGGAGCCCCCAGGAAGCA